GUCCACGCCUGUCUGUCGGGUGAGAAUCGCUCACGUCGUAUAAAAUCUAGUGUCUAUCACAACUUUAAUUAAGGUUUAAUAUGAAGCUGCUAAUAGUAAUAGUUUAUUUUAUUCUAUUAAGGUUCCAGACCUCCAAUUGUUUUAGUUGGGAAAUGUGGAGUAGGCCUACCAGUGGAGCUCAAAAGUGGGAAGCCAGCAGAAGUGGAAACAGCUCAGGCAUUGCUUUAAUCUUCUCAUGUCUUUUUACACGCCAAGUUUCUGGAAUAUAUGUUUGAUUAACUGUGUAGGUGUUGAAGUAGAGAAGACAGGGGAAAUUCUUCUAGUGGAAAAAGUGUUCUGAACUAUUUUGAGAAAGCACCAUUUUCUACAUAACGAGAAAUUUAGAAUAAAGAAAGUGUGUGUUGAAAUUUUGUGGGUGGUUAAGUGUGAGUGCAUCAUCACAGACAGACAAUUUCAAACUUAUCUUCUGCAGGAUUUUUUCUAAAAUUAAAAAACCAACUGUAUUUAGCAUUAUUAGCUCUUUACUAGGAUCUCACCGUGUGUAAAGCCAGUAAAGACCUUUUUACAUACUAAGUGAAACCUGGUGAAACUGAAGAACAUAAAGAAAAGAAAGUACAAAUCAAGAUUUGGAAUAUUUGGGUUACGACCGACAUCGGCGCAAAUACUGAUUAAUUGUAAAAACGAAUUUUUAUCGAAGAAACUGGCAGCCUGGAGGAAACCGCUUGUGGCUGUUGAAUUGACAGGUGGCUCCCACAAUAUAGCUGACAGAAGAAUGCAAAAUCAAAUCCUAUCUCUAAUUUUGCUAGAGAUGACUUUCAAAUGGUCGUCAACGUUGAAAAAGAGGAAGAAUCUGAACCCAAAGUAGAGCCAGAAGAACUUCUAAUACUAGUUUGCCAGCAGCCAUCGGAACUUAUACGCGCUCCAAGACGGCAUUAUUAUGGCAUGCCCUUGUUGGCUUGGUUCUGGUGGAGUCAUCACGGAAGAAAGCAGUGGUACACCCACCAAAUCAAAAUCUCCUUACCAACCGACGUCAUUCUCAAGUGGAUAUGCAAGGCCGGCAGCUGACGUAUGUAAACCAGUACACGAUCAAUCCCCUUGCGGUCAGUAAGAACUGGACGUCAGACGAGAGACACUGUUAAUGUAACUUGUCGCUCAAGUUUUCCGUCAUCAAACCUUCAUCACUUACAUUACACGUGACCUGGUGGCCCAGAUUUAGAAACACCAAGGGGUAUGAAAUUCAUCUCAACGGUCAAUUGAGUUGGACCGUAACACGAAGUGUAGCAUCUAACCCGAUUUCAUUCAAAAUUUCCAUCACGGCCCCAAGAAUAACUCGCCUGCUUGGAUCUACCCAUUGGAGAGAACUCAACUGUGGCUCACUUAACUGUUGCUGUUGAGCUGUUCCUUGGUGAUGGUUACGUGUUACGGCAGAUGCAUCCAGUAGGCUAUUUUGGUUAAUUGUCUUUGUGUCCAUGCAGUUAACCAUUUUUAUUUGAAGAAGAAACAAACAAAAAAAUGGGGAGUGUUUAUGUCCAACAAAUAAUCAACAUUUCUUUGCGAUUGGGAAAGUAACAAGAGGAAGUUGGGGAGAGGGAGAACUGACUUCCAUUUUUCUAAAGAUUUUGAUGUUUAUUGUUAAUGAAAACCGAUGCGGUGGGUAACUAAGGAUAAAAGCUUUAUUAACGGAAACUUGGGCAUUGAUCUUGGAUGUUGAAACUGGUGAGGGAAGUCUUCCCCGAAUGCCUAAACGCAAGAUAGUAGGAACGCCUAAAUUGUCGCAACCCAUUGUCAUAGGAAUGAAGAUUUUGGUUGGAACUUGAGGUUUCUGCUAAGGGUUAACACAAGGGCUGCUAGUACGAUGAGUCGAUGACCUUAUCUUUCUUAACUUAUGGGCCAAUCACUCAAAGACCGUGAAGAAACUAAAGCUCGGGCCAAUAACUAUUGUGCGUACUACCUAACUAGAAAUAUAGCUCGCUUAAAUUCGGGAAAAAUUUAUUAAUAAAAAAUUAACCCGUCAUCUAAAGAACACUGAUCCUGCAACAACAACGGGUAUUGUUCGUCAAACACUCUCUGCCUGAGGCUGAAUGAGGUUAUUUCGCCUGGAAGUAAUUUGUAUUUUGUAGGUGUUGGUGUUUACGCAGCUUCGACAAUUGGAAUUCUUAUUAUCCUGGAGUGUGGUGGUGAGAUAUUGUUCUCCUUGUUGUGUGAUAAGUGGAUUGUAUGACUACGCUGUAGACAAGUGUAGUUUUGGGCACCUUAUUUGUUUCCGUUUCCCUAACUAACCAGGAUUUAACGCCAGCCCGGUGGUCACUCACCCGCGGUGAAAGUAGUGAGAUGAGAAGUAGAUCGAACGGGGACUUGGAAGGUUCAUAAAUCAUGACUCUUUUCUUUCCUUUUCAGUUUGUGUUCCAAUCAAGGCAAAGUCUCUAUUGAUUGACUGAACUUUGUAAGGAAAAUUGAAUGUAUCAUAUUGUAUAAAAUAAUUUUAAUGAAUGUAAGAAGAAUGAUUAAAAUAUGUGAAAUAAAUGUACAUAAUAGCAGAAAAAUAAAUG